GACUGCUCCAUUUGGUUCACCAUAUCUCUUCGCCUCUUUCAUUAUUUUACAUCAUCAUUAAUUGUUGGUACCAAAGAGCAACACAAGCUUCAGAUGCGAAAUCUCAGUGUCCAGGUGAGAUGCUAUAAUAAGGUUCCAAUUGUAGUCUAGUUUUCUGCACAUAUGCAAGAGCAGUGAGAUUCCUUUCUCACUUAGCCUUUUGUCACGGUUGUUCAUCAAUUUAGUCAAGAGUAACUUUUUCACAACUUUCUUUUCCUUUUGCAGGAUUAGCUAUCUGCACCAACACAACUCUUUCUUGACACACAGGGUGCCGAAUGAGAAGCUGCUCCAUGGCCAAAAGCUUUAAACUUAUUCCCUUGAAAAUAUCCAUGUCAUCCGCACCAAGCAACAUUAUCUUCCCUUGAUCAGAGAACUGCUUAACAAGCUCUCCAACUUUU
rnacentral:lncRNA from 1 species